GACGAACGCUGGCGGCGUGCCUAAUACAUGCAAGUUGAGCGAUGAAGAUUGGUGCUUGCACCAAUUUGAAGAGCAGCGAACGGGUGAGUAACGCGUGGGGAAUCUGCCUUUGGUCGGGGGACAACAUUUGGAAACGAAUGCUAAUACCGCAUAACAACUUUAAACAUAAGUUGUAAGUUUGAAAGAUGCAAUUGCAUCACUCAAAGAUGAUCCCGCGUUGUAUUAGCUAGUUGGUGAGGUAAAGGCUCACCAAGGCGAUGAUACAUAGCCGACCUGAGAGGGUGAUCGGCCACAUUGGGACUGAGACACGGCCCAAACUCCUACGGGAGGCAGCAGUAGGGAAUCUUCGGCAAUGGACGCAAGUCUGACCGAGCAACGCCGCGUGAGUGAAGAAGGUUUUCGGAUCGUAAAACUCUGUUGGUAGGGAAGAACGUUGGUGGGAGUGGAAAGCUCAUCAAGUGACGGGAACUACCCAGAAAGGGACGGCUAACUACGU
rnacentral:rRNA from 1 species